rnacentral:lncRNA from 1 species
GCUAACCCUGCCCAGCAGGGUCCACCUCAUGCCGAAGUGGUGGAGACGUUUCGCAAGUUCCUGAUGUUGAACACCGGAACCAUACUGUUCUGCUGCGUAGUCCACAUAGCCGCAUCCCACUACACUGCUCAGAAUGUCCGCGUCGAAGGAGCCACAUCCGCCCUCCAAGA